UUUUGUCACCCAGCCUGACAGCACUGGCAAUGGGAGCUUGGAGCUCAGGGCCUGCAUUCAGGGAAGCCCAUGGGGUAAGGGAGCUUGUCACUGAGAGGAAUAGCAGAUUUGUCCUUCCAAACAACCUGGUGUGACAGUGGGCUGUAAUCCUGUGAUUCAGUGAGGAUGACCCAUGGUAGGAUUGCCUGUGAGUUACUGGAAUGUGGUUCAGCAUUCUCUCCUCUGGUCUGGUCAGACAUCUGGCACUGAUGGCUGUAAACAGAAUGUGAUGUUUCUUCAGUCACACACCUUUUCCCUUGGCACUGAGCACUGUGGCUGGGAGGUGCAGCUGAAGAGGAAUUUGCUCAUUGCAAAGUGGAAAAGGCUGAGCCAGAAUAUUAUUUGCUGUUUGCCCUUGGAGAUGCUGCACCACUUGACUGUAAUUCAAGUCUUGUCACUGACUGGUUUCUCCUUCCAAGACACAUCUGCUAAUUGUUCUAUUCUUGGUAUAGAAACAGGGAGGAAGCCUUUUAGUCUGACCCAACCUGAGUUAAAUAUAAAAAUAAAAGUAUUUCACUAGUCACUGUCUAGAAUGAUUUCUGUUUUCUUCACCCUGCUGAUGGUGACCAAAAUCUUUGUCAAGACUUGCCUUUCUUUUCUGCUCUGAUUAAAGCUGUAUUUAAAAACCAUGUUUAAUACACCAGCAUGUUCUGUAUUUAUAGCUAUUAACUAUGGCACCAUUCCAAGUUCUAUUUUAAGACAGCUUUUGUUCAGUGUUUGUGUGAUGCUCCAAUUUCUGUAUCCUCCCAGUGCAAUGGGGGCUUCUGUUCCUCUGCUACACUGCAAGUUUUAUUUUAAGCUCCUUGUUAAAGCUCAGCAGAUGUGUAUUUAUCAUCUGGGUGAUUAUCUGACAUUGUUGAAUAAUUGCAUCUUUUAAUGUUUAGCAGCUAAAGCUGCUCGUCAGGCCUUUUGGUAUUACCCUUCCUCUUGUUGCUCCUUUAACAAACAAUGCCUUGCUUCUCCAAUUGUCUCCAGUACUUUGGUAUUUUGGGCUAUUUUAUUUUUCAUCUCAGGUUUCCCAGGAGAUGAAGAUGGCAUAUUUUUAUCUGAAAUAUAUUCCAGAGACUUGCUGAUGAGGUUGUGCUAUGUCAGUUUGUGCCUUCACACAGGGACUAUUUUUGAGCUAGAGGUUUCCAGAUCAGCUUACAGAAUAGACUCCAGAUGGUCUGGAAUCCUUCUUUAGUGAUCUAUAGCUAAUCAAACAUUCAGCACAAACAAUGUCUGUUUUUAAAGCUGAGCACAGUCUUUCAGAAAAGCAGCAUAUUGAUCUCUAACUUUACUUUUCAUAAUUUCUUUUAUUUCAUUAUUGUGUUUUUCAUUACUUGUUUUGUUGUUGUGUGGCUCAGGAGCUGUGAGGCACCUUGUGUCUUACAUUUCAAUCAAUAAAGGAAAUUAAUAAGGCCUUUGUGGGCCA
rnacentral:lncRNA from 1 species